CGAUCCUCUCAGAUUGUCCUUCGGAUGCCAAGGGAGGCCUCCAAGUUAACUAAAUGAUUUUCAUUACGGCAUUAGCUGAAGACAUUCUCUCUCAAAAACGGUGCAUUAUAGGACAACACGAAGGAGAAUGGAUAUAAUGUGAGGGUUUGUGGAAGGUUAGGCCGAAACGUGAGAUUUAGGAUACUACUGAGGAGAUUACCAUUGUGGGAGCCAGGAGGAGGAAAGCCAAGAGGACAAUUCAGACCCAGAGCUGAGGUGGCUCCAAAAAACCCAGCAACUCAAGGACAAGAAAAUGAGACGACAGAAGCUGUAUUCAAAUGUGAUCCGUGAGCAGAACAAGAAGAUAAGCCCUGGAGUAUGCCAGGUGCAUCCUGCGGCCCAAGGUGGCGCCCCUGCCUCAGCAGACCAAGACCAGACAGCCAGAGUGGGCCCAGGGGCCACACUCGCCUCCUGGAGGGCUUCGACAUAUCCCAGCUGGCCACACUGGAGGCCCUGAGGAAACGGCGAGAGCAGGAGAAACAGACCGUGGCCCACUUCAAGGUGGUGCACACCAUCUGACACUACAUCGGCCCAGUUACUUUAUAACACACAGGAGUCACGCAACAACAGGUUUCCCCUUACAGCUGACACGGCCAUUAAACUUUUGGGGAAAGGCAGUAUAUGGACUAUAUAGACAAUAUGGAGGAAUAAGCAGGGAAAUAUUGCAGCAAUCGUUCAUUCAUGCUUGUGUCAACUGCAAUUUGGCGUGUUACAGAGUAGCCUGUCUGUAUGUGGUUGUUGACAUAAGCAUUUACUGUAUGAAUGCAUUUUUACGACCAAUGAAGUUGUAGCUUGCGCGUUUGUUCAUAUGAUUUGAUGUACUUAAACCAUAGGUAAACAUGGUACUUAUACCAUACCGUAAUUUAUACUAUAGGCAAACAUGGUACUGUAAUCCCAAACCAAGUGUUGUUGUUUUUUGCUCAAAGUUGAUAAGGUAUUGUUUGAAUAAUAUGC
rnacentral:lncRNA from 1 species